rnacentral:rRNA from 1 species
GAUGAACGCUAGCGGCAGGCCUAACACAUGCAAGUCGAGGGAGAGCCUUUCGGGGCAGAAACCGGCGCACGGGUGCGUAACGCGUAUGCAACCUACCUUUCACAGGGGGAUAGCCCGAAGAAAUUUGGAUUAAUACCCCAUAAUAUUGUUGGAUGGCAUCAUCUGAUAAUUAAAACUGUGGUGGUGAAAGAUGGGCAUGCGUCCUAUUAGCUAGUUGGAGUGGUAACGGCACCCCAAGGCUACGAUAGGUAGGGGUCCUGAGAGGGAGAUCCCCCACACUGGUACUGAGACAGGGACCAGACUCCUACGGGAGGCAGCAGUGAGGAUAUUGGU